CAAUAGCGUAUAUUAAAGUUGUUGCAGUUAAAAAGCUCGUAGUUGGAUUUCUGGAUCGAACGCUUCGUCCGCCGCUGUGCGGUGUGUACUGAGGUUUUGUUUCGAUUCAUCCUUGCAGGGAAGCGAGUUCGAGAUUAAUUUGUCGGCUCGGGGAACUGCAUCUUUUACUGUGAAAAAAUUAGAGUGUUUAAAGCAGGCAUUUUGCUGUGAAUACAUUAGCAUGGAAUAAUAACAUAGGACUUUGGUUCUAUUUUGUUGGUUGGAGGCCAAGGUAAUGAUUAAUAGGGACAGUUGGGGGUAUUCAUAUUUAAUUGUCAGAGGUGAAAUUCUUGGAUUUAUGAAAGAUGAACUCAUGCGAAAGCAUUUACCAAGGAUGUUUUCAUUA
rnacentral:rRNA from 1 species